GACGAACGCUGGCGGCGUGCUUAACACAUGCAAGUCGAACGGAAAGGCCCUGCUUUUGUGGGGUGCUCGAGUGGCGAACGGGUGAGUAACACGUGAGUAACCUGCCCUUGACUUUGGGAUAACUUCAGGAAACUGGGGCUAAUACCGGAUAGGAGCUCCUGCUGCAUGGUGGGGGUUGGAAAGUUUCGGCGGUUGGGGAUGGACUCCCGGCUUAUCAGCUUGUUGGUGGGGUAGUGGCUUACCAAGGCAUUGACGGGUAGCCGGCCUGAGAGGGUGACCGGCCACAUUGGGACUGAGAUACGGACCAGACUCCUACGGGAGGCAGCAGUGGGGAAUAUUGCACAAUGGGCGGAAGCCUGAUGCAGCAACGCCGCGUGCGGGAUGACGGCCUUCGUGUUAGAAACCGCUUUCGCCUGUGACGAAGCGUGAGUGACGGUAAUGGGUAAAGAAGCACCGGCUAACUACGUG
rnacentral:rRNA from 1 species